UGGAGUGGGGGGGCAGGAGGGGCUCAGGGAGAAAGUGCAUGCAGCCCCUGGCCCUCUCUGCCCUUCCGUCCCCUGCUCUUAGCC
rnacentral:pre_miRNA from 12 species